AUUGAACGCUGGCGGCAGGCUUAACACAUGCAAGUCGAGCGGAGAUGAGGUGCUUGCACCUUAUCUUAGCGGCGGACGGGUGAGUAAUGCUUAGGAAUCUGCCUAUUAGUGGGGGACAACAUUCCGAAAGGAAUGCUAAUACCGCAUACGUCCUACGGGAGAAAGCAGGGGAUCUUCGGACCGUGCGCUAAUAGAUGAGCCUAAGGCGGAUUAGCUAGUUGGUGGGGUAAAGGCCUACCAAGGCGACGAUCUGUAGCGGGUCUGAGAGGAUGAUCCGCCACACUGGGACUGAGACACGGCCCAGACUCCUACGGGAGGCAGCAGUGGGGAAUAUUGGACAAUGGGGGGAACCCUGAUCCAGCCAUGCCGCGUGUGUGAAGAAGGCCUUAUGGUUGUAAAGCACUUUAAGCGAGGAGGAGGCUACUGAGACUAAUACUCUUGGAUAGUGGACGUUACUCGCAGAAUAAGCACCGGCUAACUCUGUGCCAGCAGCCGCCUAAGAC
rnacentral:rRNA from 1 species